rnacentral:rRNA from 1 species
UGCGUAGGCAGCAAGCGUUGUUCGGAAUUACUGGGCGUAAAGAGUGUGUAGGCGGUGCUCUAAGUUUGUCGUGAAAUCUCCCGGCUUAACUGGGAGGGUGCGGCGAAGACUGGAGUGCUAGAGGGUGGGAGAGGAAAGCGGAAUUCCUGGUGUAGCGGUGAAAUGCGUAGAUAUCAGGAGGAACACCGGCGGUGUAGACAGCUUUCUGGACCGCUUCUGACGCGGAGACACGAAAGCGUGGGUAGCAAACAGG